GGCCCGCACAAGCAGUGGAUUAUGUGGUUUAAUUCGAAGCAACGCGAAGAACCUUACCAGGGCUUGACAUCCAACUAACGAAGCAGAGAUGCAUUAGGUGCCCUUCGGGGAAAGUUGAGACAGGUGGUGCAUGGUUGUCGUCAGCUCGUGUCGUGAGAUGUUGGGUUAAGUCCCGCAACGAGCGCAACCCUUAUUGUUAGUUGCUACGCAAGAGCACUCUAGCGAGACUGCCGUUGACAAAACGGAGGAAGGUGGGGACGACGUCAAAUCAUCAUGCCCCUUAUGUCCUGGGCUACACACGUAAUACAAUGGCGUUAAACAAAGGGAGGCAAAGCCGCGAGGUGGAGCAAAUCCCCAAAAGGCGUCUCAGUUCGGAUUGCAGGCUGCAACCCGCCUGCAUGAAGUCGGAAUUGCUAGUAAUCGCGGAUCAGCAUGCCGCGGUGAAUACGUUCCCGGGCCUUGUACAC
rnacentral:rRNA from 1 species